CAAUAACAUUUUGGGGAUUUCCAAGCAGCUUUUGUGAGUCACGCACUUUAUACACUUUGAUUCUGUUUGUUGUGAGUGGGCGGUAUCGCUUUAAUUUUUCUGAAUCAACACAAUUUAUUUACGUAUUGUAUGUACAUUUGUUUCAAUAUUUAAAGGAACUGGUUACGUUUGUUUCUUUAUUUUUAAACUUCGAAACUGCCAACUGACCGGUAGUUUGAGGUUGCAGCAUGAUUUGCCGGUUUUGCUACAAAAGUGUGUCACCGAUUUUCACUUAUUUUUGUAGUCGAUUUUCGUAAACAACCUAGUGGCGUCUCACAAGCCAAAUACAUGCACAAAACACAAACUCAAAAACAAAUACUCGGAAUCAAAACAAAACAAAAAAAAGCCGAGAAAUGUGGGAUUUGGCCCCCUUUGGCCCCCUUUGGCCUCUUAGCACACUUCAAGGCGAUGAUCACGUGUUUCACUCAAUGUUAUCAGAUUUAAAGGCGUCCCAAACUUGGUUCGCGCGCGCAAAUCAACAACGGCAACGACCGCAAUGGCACAGCCAGUAUAGUUAGAGAAGAGGAGCACUGCAGGAGGUUUAACUUUUAGCCGUUUGGUUUUGUUGCGUUGCCGUGGAGCAAGCACUUCCAGUAUGCGGAUCACGGAUCACGGAUCACUUACCUAUCGGAAGUUAUUUAGAUCGAACUACAACGACCAGCGCGUUAAUAUGCAAAGAACAGAAAAUUAAAUCGGGCGGCUAAGGUGGAAGACAAGCACGCUCGUACACUGUUGAUCAGUCGGUCUGCGUUGGUGCGAGAUGUAAAGCGGGGCGUUAACAAAUGCAAAGAGGCAUCGCCUAGAAGCAAAAUGAUAAAUAAAUAAAACAAAAAAUUCCAAUCAAAACAAAUAAAGACGAAUAACAGACGCACCGAAGGAGCAGAAACGAGCGGCAAUCAGAGGCGGGAAAAUAUGUACAUACAAACAUACUGGAAUAAGCAUAGCCAAGUGGUGAGCUGAAGUGGCGAGAUAAAUGUCGAAGGCGCGCGGAUUGUAUGUAUGCGUGUAUGCAUUAGGCUGUUCGGUUGAUGAUUUGCAAAACAAAACCGAUUUCCGAGUUAUUCGAAAAAGGCGAAUUGAAAAAUCCCGGUUAGACUCGAUAUUCGCUUUUACUUUUUCUCGUUUUGAUAACGCUUACAGAUAGUCAGAAAUGAAAGUCAAAAAUGGAAUAAAACUAUUAAAAUUA